rnacentral:rRNA from 1 species
GAGAGGUGGUGCAUGGCCGUCGUCAGUCGUACUGUGAAGCAUCCUGUUAAGUCAGGCAACGAGCGAGACCCACGCCCACAGUUGCCAGCGUACUCUCCGGAGUGACGGGUACACUGUGGGGACCGCCGCUGCUAAAGCGGAGGAAGGAAUGGGCAACGGUAGGUCAGUAUGCCCCGAAUAUCCCGGGCUACACGCGAGCUACAAUGGUUGGUACAAUGGGUAUCUACCCCGAAAGGGGGAUGGAAAUCUCCUAAAGCCAAUCUUAGUCCGGAUUGAGGGCUGCAACUCGCCCUCAUGAAGCUGGAAUCCGUAGUAAUCGCGUUUCAACAGAACGCGGUGAAUACGUCCCUGCUCCUU